ensembl:lncRNA
CGCACGGCCAGGCCCGCCCCGCGGGGGAGGGGGCCGCCGCGCCCCGGAGGGCCACAGGGAAAAGUUGGGGGACCUCCGGGGAGGGGCCAGCCCGGACCGAGACCCCUUGGGAGUCUGGUCCAACCGCAGAGGAUCAGAUGCCCGCAGUCCCUCCACGGGCUGCAAAGAAGGAGGGGCUGCUGCUUUACAGAGUGGUAGAGAUGAGGCUUCACAAAUGGAGCACUUCCUGCCAACCCAGGACAAGAAGAUCUGCAUUGAAGCCUGCUGGAGGUCCGGGGAGGGGAAGCUGUGGUCCUUCCUCGGGAAGCCCUGGCUGUCAUGUUGGCUGAUGCAAUGAAGAAGUGACAUUUGAGAAAUCCCAGACAUGAGGGAUAAGAUCCAGCCCAGGUACAGGCAGCGAGGAACGGCAGAAAUUUUACAGAAGGCGGUGAAUCUAAGAAUACUGCAGUUUGGGAAAUCUAUUUUUAGAUCACAGAUCAUCUUCAAAUCCUCAACCAAACUAUGAAUCUUAUGAGAAUCUUCGAGACUCCAUCAGGCUGUUAAUCCCCCUCCCCUACUUUCCAACCAAAUCCCACCUCCACCCCRGCCUGGUCCCCUCACCAGGACCGGAAGCUUCAGCUUCAGAGGGCCUCUGCUACCGCCCAGUGCCUCUGGCUUCAAUGCUUACUGUAACAACCGAAUAAAAAUU